CCUACGGGAGGCAGCAGUGAGGAAUAUUGGUCAAUGGCCGGAAGGCUGAACCAGCCAUGCCGCGUGAAGGUCAGUGCCCUAUGGGCGUUAAACUUCUUUUGUGCGGGAGCAAUAAUGGUCACGUGUGGCCAGACGAGAGUACCGUACGAAUAAGCAUCGGCUAACUCCGUGCCAGCAGCCGCGGUAAUACGGGGGAUGCAAGCGUUUUCCGGAUUUAUUGGGGUUAAAGGGUGCGUAGGAUGGGAGGUAAGUCAGCGGUGAAAUGCCCCCGCGCAACGGGGUGAAGUGCCAUUGAUACUGGCGUGCUGGAAUGCGGAUGCGGUAGGAGGAAUGUGUGGUGUAGCGGUGAAAUGCAUAGAUAUCACACAGAACACCGAUUGCGAAGGCAGCUCACGAAUCCGCGAUUGACGCUGAUGCACGAAAGCGUGGGUAUCAAACAGGAUUAGAUACCCGGGUAGUC
rnacentral:rRNA from 1 species